rnacentral:rRNA from 1 species
UACGGAGGGGGCUAGCGUUGUUCGGAAUUACUGGGCGUAAAGCGCACGUAGGCGGACUGUUAAGUCGGGGGUGAAAUCCCGGGGCUCAACCCCGGAAUGGCCUUCGAUACUGGCGGUCUUGAGGUCUGGAGAGGUGAGUGGAAUUCCGAGUGUAGAGGUGAAAUUCGUAGAUAUUCGGAGGGACACCAGUGGCGAAGGCGGCUCACUGGCCAGAUACUUACGCUGAGGUGCGAAAGCGUGGGGAGCAAACAGG